CUUCACGUCCAUGUUCCUUGCUCCGUGGUCUCGGCUGGGAGAUCCAGGAGACUAAACUGGAGCUCCCAGAUUCAAGCAUUACUGUUGACAGAAAGAAACUCCCGACCUGCUAGAUAAUCUGGUAUGAAUUCAUGUUCUCUAAAAUAAAAGAAUGACUUUUCGAAC
rnacentral:lncRNA from 1 species